ACAACAAUGCCGUUCUUAAGAAAGCUUAUGUAAGCAAAAAAAUAGAUAUAGCUGCGUACAUUUUACAUUCUAGAAAAACACUGCUCACGAAAUGUUUCCUCUUAACUAAUUCUACGAAAUAUAUAAAAAAAGAUUCUCGCAAAGUUGACGACUUUAUCGUCGAGAGGGAUGCAGGAGGUGUGACGGGACUGAUGUGUCUUACGGCAUUUUAGUGCAACAGAUGUACGGAUCGAACGGAGCAAGCGUCGGUCUACCAAUGGGCAUGACCACGCUGAAGGGCACAACCGGUACACUGGGGCCCCUGGCGAACUACGGCUCGGGGAUGGGAAUAACGGGGGCCACGACCCUGCCACGGCCGGGAAACUGGCUGCGCCCUGCGGGCCUCAGGCUCGGGCACAGCGCGGCCCGGGUCCGCCUCUACUGCCAGGCAAAGUGAGGAGCCAUGGUUCCGACAGUGACAUCUCCUCCAGCCAGAAAGACGAGUGGUUUGUGUAGAGGCAGGCCUGGACCAGAGCCCGCAGGGUGAAUCGGAGCGGUGGUGCCCUCACCGCCCCUGGGGGACGGGGCGACGCCAGACGUCGAAUCGUCUUCUGCUGAUCGUCGGUCGCGUGUUAUCGGCGAACAUCGAGCCACAAGUAACGCAGACGCAAUUCCUAAUCAUCUUCUGAUCCUCCCUUAAGCAUCGUGGAACCGCACCGGAAACAUGACCGAUACGGACCGAAGGAAAACGCGGAAAAAUUGAAUUUCGUCGCGAAGAACAGAUGUCUAAAUCCUUUUUUAUCUCAUUUUGCAAAAUUCUACGUUUUGCCAGAAGAAAUUUCUGUCACGGGAUUAUACACAGAGUAUUCCCGAACGAUGAAGGAUGGUUAGCUAUUAUGAAAAUAAACGCAAACAAAAACAAAUGGGGGGAAAAGCGAGAAAGCAAAAUCGAUAUUCCGAGUCGACAUUCGCAAAUUUGUUUGCAUCGCUAAUCGAGCUAUUAAUGAAGUAAACAGAUUUUUACGAUGAUCGAACGAGCGUUGUUUUCGUAAAAUUCGCUUGAAGAGAAUGCGUACAAAUUGUUUACAAGGGACGGAAGCGGGAUAGCGUCAACGUAAUGCGAGGCGCGGACACGCGGUCCGAGAGACUAUUGGACAAAAAUUAAUUGCAAACAGUAUGAGUGGGGCGUCGCGUGUGCGUACGUAUGCGCGAGCGUGCGAAUGUGAAUAGAAUGGAAAUGAUAAAUGCACGCACAUAGCAAAAGGGAAGAGAGACGGGAGCUUCGAUCUCGUGGUGCACGUGUGCGCAAUGAGUUUUCGUUACGUAGCCUAGUCACGUAAGUCAGGUGUUUCUCGGUGUGUAUUCUGUGAAGCAGUAGAGAGAGAGAAGAACGCCGUUUUAGUCGUACGGAUCGCAUCCGCUGUUCACGGUAACGAUUUUCGCGGGAGUCUUCAUGAACCCGGCAUUCUUACAUUGCAAUUGAUAAUUGCACUGCGAUUUAUUAAAUUAUAUAAAUAGAGUUAUCUCAGUGAAAUAAUAUUUAAAAUAAUAAAUAAUUCCAACUCAUCUCUAUAGACACGUGUGUAUCAAUAAAGAAGAAAAAAAUCACAACACAAUGUACAUCGAGUAUUAAACUGCCAAGCCAACUAUGAUGGCGAACAUUCGGGUAGAUUUAUAACAUUUAAAAAAACUAUAUUAAAUUAUAACAAUGUACAAUAUCUCCAGGUAUUUUUUAGCCGUUAUACAAUACAUAAAACAUUAUCCAAUAAUUUUUGUUUUUAUUCGAAAGAGAAACGUCAAGAAAAAAGGUUUCCACGGAAAUUCGUCGCAUGGAAAAUCGUUACCGUGAAAUCGUUAUGUACACGCGCGCGAGUAUUUGACGCAAAAGUGCGCUUGAGAUGCGUUAGUGCGUGUUGGCCGACGGAGCUGUAAUAUGAAAUUGCAAUCUAUCUCAUCCGUAGGAAAAGAUUCGCGAUUAAAGUUUGUUUUCAUCAUCUCUUUUUGUUUGACAAUUAACAUCAGCCAAAUACUGAUUAAGUUUCUCAAUAGACAUGCUUGUUAUAUAUUACAUAACUUUUUGCAUUCUUUCAAAUAUUUAAAAGAAACUUUUUUACUAUAAAAGUCAAAUAUAUUAAUUUCAGUGAAUAAAUCUACCAGUCCAUUUUGUCGACCGCUAUAUUUUAUUCGUUAUCCAAUGAAAGACUGUGCUAAAAAGCUCUCCGGCGCUGCCGUUCGCGCAAAGAUUUCUUUGGAUAUCAUAAAUCAAGAGAUUCUUUCUUCAGCGACUACACUAGUACCUCGUGUAGCUUUCUACGAGGACAAUCACUUUCCUCCUCCGCUUCUGAAUCGGCGAAGCACGAGCACAAAGCGAGCGGAUACUUCGCGAGCGUGUACUUGUAAUAUACUUGUAUCUACCAUUAGCCGUUCAAGCUUUGUGCCGUUUCCAUAGAUUACGAAUGCGAAAAAGAAAAAAACAUAUACAUAUGUAGAAGUUAUAAUGACGAGAGAGCGGAGUGAAGAGGUAAAAGAAGAUUGUAAAAGAAGAGAGUAAGAGAAUUUAUCAUUAACAUAGAGAAAAUUUUAAUUUCGCGACUUUAGCGCAUAACUCGCGUCACACUGAACGACGGAAUUACCGAUUAUCACGCGUUUGUCACGCUCGAACGUAAAUUAAAUAAAACUUUGAUCGAGAAACGAUUACGAUAAUAAAGAUAUUGAAUCUUCACGUUAAAGCAGAAAGUUAUUUUUGGUUAUAAUUAAAAAAAUCAAAUAAUUAAAGUAACAUAAUAAUUAGAUAUAAUAAUUAGAAAUUAUUUUUGGAAUAUGUCACAAAUUUUCACUUUUGCAAAGCUAAGAUAAAUUCGAAUUUAUUAUACCUAUUGCAUAUCUGUUAAUCUCCAUUCGAGCUUCAUUACACCAAAUCAAUCUGUGACCAAUAAUAUCGAUUUGCGUGCAAUCUUUGCAAGGAAGAAAUUAUAGGUAACUCGCGCAUCAAUACUAUUUCAUACUUUGACGAAAACAUAUCCAGAAUACGUCGCCGAUUUUACGUGCAUGACGAAACAUCGGAAUAUCUUCAUUUUUACUGAUUCAUGAAGUAGCCUUUGCAUAGCUUCUGCGAAUCUCGCGUGAUAUAAUAUUUGAUCGGCAUGCAUAUCGACGCCGCCACGAUUGAGACAUUUACGAAUCGAGCCGACAGACUGUAAAUCAGAAAAGAUGCGAUUGGUCAACGUUCCUCGUUACCAAGAUCAUUUCUUAGAUCACGAUAUUUUCCAACAUGUUCGUCCUUUUCAGCUCGGCCAAAUGCUAUUAUUAUUCAUUAAUUAUUUCAUCAUUACAAUGUUAAAAUUAUUAAUUCAUAUGAUAAUAGAAUGCAAUCAACACAAUAAUGCUCACAAGUAACAUCUUAACAAAUACUAAUGACAAAUUAAUAAUCUGAGGUGCAAAAUCUUUUAAUGAAGCAUGAUAGCACGUGCUGUGGCAACUGAGCUGAAAUGGACUCAUAGAAAUAUAGUUUCUUUGAAGAUAAAGAGUAGAAAAGUGUGCCUGGAUUAUGCGGAGUUGAUUUAAAUGAUCUAAGCUAGAGAAAACGAGCGAAUGACGACAGUAUACGUGCGAGAGGAAAAAUAAAGGAGAGAGAGAGAGAAAAAGAGAGAAUGCGAAGAGCGGAAAAGGAUUCUCACACGAUUAAUAUUACUGAUUAAUAUUAAUAAUAUGCUCAUUGAGUGUACUAUUUCAUUUCUAAUUAUAGCUUUUCACACAAAAGCUGUAAUUAACCAUACUGACUGAUGGUGAUAACAAUUGAAUUUCAAGGAUUAAUUUUUCGAGAUCGUGUGAGCCUCCACAAAUGUAAAUGGAUUCGCGCGGUCCUUUGUGGCUCGAAGACCACGGUUAUAGGAUAAGCGAAUAGGAAUAGGUAAGAAAUUCCGAUUGUCGGAUUCGGACACACGUAAGCUAGCUGAAACUGCCAUGAACAGGACAGUGAAAGAGAGGAAAUGUAUGAGAUAUUAGUGAAAAUUUAAGUCUGGAAAGGAGUAUCGUAUAGUCUUAAUUUAAACAGUUCGCGGUGAACUGUUAGAUACUCGUGAACGAUUAGCGACAAUUAACCUGUAGCAUAUUUAAAAGACUUUAGGAAAUUUUCGAAGUUAUUACUUAAAUUUUUCAGUACAUUAAUUGAAAUGGCUGGAAAAUCAUUGACAUUUGUUUAGACUCUUCCGUAGUCGAUUUAAUUGCGGUGCACGCGAGAUCAAUGGAAGAGUGUUUUUCAAUGAAAAAGGAACGAUAAGAAUUUUUAACACGUUUGUUAAUAAGAAUUUAAUAUGAAUGAUAUAUUUCUUCGCGAAGAAAUCGUAAAUGCGCGUUAUCGAUACACUCGCGUAGUCAUUACAUUCGAUACAACAGUGCGGAAAAGGGAUUGGCGCGUUAUCACGUCGUAAUGUCUCGUCCAGCAGAUAUAUACAUGCGCCGAUUAAAUGUAAUAUAUUUCCAAUGCUGUCUAAGCAUUCUCCGAUUAGAAAUAUACGCAAGAAAUGAAAAGAACUGAGUCUAUUCAUCAAAUAAUCAAAAUAUCUGAAAUCUCUGUCCAGCGAUAUCUUUUUAUUUCUUGUCUAAUAUUUCUUGGAAUAAACAUUUGUAUGAAGUAAGAAUAAUUGUUCUGGGAUUAUCGCAAAAAGUUUCAGGAUGUAUGUUAAUUUAAAAUGAUCAAGCCGACGACAAACGCCAAUCACAAAAGGCAAAUAAUAAUUUUAUAUUUAAGUACGCAUAUCAAAUUAAAAUACCAUAUCGCAAUCUGCAUAUCACAGCAAUCGACGCGUAAAUUCUUUAAUUUUAUCAAUAUAAUCUUUAAAUAACCAAUUUUUUUUGCACAAUUCACACGACUCAACGAAUUGGUAAAGCUUCGUUCGGCGUGGUCGAUCCAUUGAGCGCAUUUAUACCGUGUGUACUUUCAAAAUCAAUGUACGUAUACCUGAUAGAGGCAACUAAAGAGAUAAGCUAAAAGUGGAACAAUUUUGGGAAUGUCCAGAAUACUCGUCUUCUAACGAUUUAGAAAAUACGAGAGAAAUCUAGUAGUGAAAUUUCGCGUAAAAAAAAUGUAUAGGAUAAAAUGAUUCUAAUGUAUGUAACUUGUUGCAUAACAUCGUGCGAUAUUCCGUAAAGCAUCCCACGAAAAGGAUAAAUCUUUAUUAAAUAUAUACAUUUCUACUAGUGCAGGGUGAGAGAGCCUAUACUUAUAAUGCAGAUGCAGACACUGAUUAUUUUCUAAUUUAUAAAUAUACGUCGCGUACCGUGAAUAAUUAAAAAUUCUUUACUUUGUCUGUUUUAUGUUACCAUGAUAGACUUGUGAGAAUCUUGCAUUAAAACUCGUUCGUACUAAACAAAUUUUAUCGCAUAUAUUCCACGACAAGUUCUUCGUUUACUAGAUUUCCAAGCUCAUUGUAGCGCGAAGAUUUAUUAAUUAAAAAUUCACGAAAUGAGAAUAGAAUGUCGCAGCGCGCUUGUAUUUCUUGAAAGUUUAGAAAAAAAACUUAGAUGAAUCUAUACAAUAUAGAUAGACAGAUGUGUUGGAAAAGCAGAAGGAUUAAUGAAUGAACGCGAGUGUAUGGUGUGAUUGCCCUUGGAAAUUAGCGAUAAUAAUAGUGAUAAUACGAGAUAGGGGAUAACGAGAAACGGGAUAAAAAUUUCUCUAUAGAAUCAGGCGAUGCAUUGUCCUCUUCAAUUAAUUUCUUCAUAGUACUAAUUAUUUCUGUCAUUUCAAUAUAAGCUACUGAAUUCUAAUAUAUAUGUAUGUGUGUUUGAAGCUUCUAAAGAGAAAAAUUAUGGAACAUUUUGAUAAUAUAAAAUAACGAGCAAAAAAUAUGACUGAACACUUUUAUAGAUUUGACAUUAGAUAUAAAUCAAAUAAUAUCAAAUCUAUGAAAAAGGUGAUUUAAGUAAAUUUAUAAAGUUUGCAUAAUAUUUGGUUAAAUUUAUAAUUUCUAUUACCAAUCGAAAUUAGAGUAAGCAACGUUCACAUUCGGUAAAUGAAAGAUGGAAUACACGCGUGUAAAACGAGGAUAAAGGCGGUCUCUGUCAAUUGCAACUUGGUAAAGAAGAGAUCUACCCCGUACAAGUUCCCGUAAAAGCCGGUUUUACACGUUGUAUCUCUACAAUUCGUAUCGAGAAAUACACGAGUAUUAUCAUCGUUGUUUAACGAUUAAUAAAACCAUAAACUAUUUUGAGCAUGUGAUCGCAUGCAGCAGAAUUUCGAAGUUAAUCAUUCUAUUUUACGUCUUAUCUCACAAGAUUUUCGGUGAGAAAUUUGAGCAAUGCAUCGCCAGACUUUUUUUUCGAAACAGAUAAUUCAAUUCCACUCUUCGAUAAAAUCUUUCGAAUAUUGGGUAUUUUAUGCAAUAUCUAAAUCAGUACGAUCGAAAUGAUCGAACUGACGCGAGGCAUGCGUGAUAAUCCGAAUAAAACAAGAUUUCAAUGAUGUUAGUAUAGUUAGUACGAGGGGAGUAUUUUCACGGAUGUGGGUAACGUUUAUGACCUAAAGCGAGAAAAAGAUGUAAGCGGACAAUAAUAAACCAUUUUGGACACGAUUUAUCUCAGCCUGCAAGAUAGUCGAGCUAUCAUAACGAACAGAAUUCACUCACAAUCAGUAUCAUUCACCGCGAUCGCCAUCGAGAACAUGGAAAUACUCCCAUCAAAAAGAGUCUUCAGCAUAGCACUUUCUACAUUCUUUGCUGCGGUUAGCAUGUUAAGAGAACAUCAACUUCAAAUAAACUUUCGAGACUAAAUGUUACGUUGGGCAUAACGAGCCGUAGGUUAAACUUUUUAUUAUUUUUAUAUUAAUUGAGUAAUUGUAUUCUCAAUUGACUGCAAAUUUCGACGAAAAAAGAAAACAAUAUAAAAACGUGCACGAAAAUGAUAAUUUCUUAAAAGAUCUGACCACUAAAUAGCUAAAAAUAACUUUAACAAUGCACGUUGUUGCUAAACAUUUUAUUCGAUAAUAUGCCUCAUGUAAUUUAAACUUAAAUAAUAAUAUCAUUGUAUCAGACGAUUCAUUAAACUCUCAGUUCCAUUGGGAAAAGGCUGCUAUUGAACAUGUAUCGUUCGUUAUUAAUCAUAUUAGUCGAGCACGUCAUAGUACUGUCAUCUCCGAGAAUAUUGACCAUCAUAGAGAUCAUCGUACACAUAAUACGAUAUUAUAGUGUUCGUACUUGUAUAACAGGACGUUUCCACUCUCGAAACUGAUCGAACGCUAAAUUGAUCGAAAAAAACAAGAAAUCUCGUAUGUGAUAUUUGUUACUGAAAAUAAUGAAGAUAAGUUGUUGCGUAAUCAUUGGCAUAAAGUAUAAUUGGCUUGAACGAAUUAAUAAAUUUAAAUGUAGAAUAGAUAUUAUAUAUACAAAUUUAAUAACGCGACUUUUACUUUACGAGCGAUUGUUGUAAUGUUUUAGUAUCAUAUUUUAUCAUUUUGCAAUAUUUUAUUGUCACAAAAAAUAUCUAGAAGAAUAGGGAUAACUUUUCAUAAAUAUAUUCAUUUCACUAGAUGCAAAAAAAAAAUAGAUCAAAAUUCGCGUUGGCAACUUCGAGAGUACGGAGCACGACAUAACAAUAAGUAAUGGGAAACAAUACAAUAAUUUUUCAUACUGUUUUUACUUUUUACUACUAUGAUUACGUAUCUGUAUAAUCUUAUUCUUAUCGUAUACUGUAUAUUUAGCCGCGGCGCAUAUCAAGUGAUGCAUUCUCCGACGCAUUUUAACAGUGCCGCAAAAAUUGUUCUCCGCAGGAUUCACAGUCGAGCAAAUGUUAAAUUCAACGAGAUAAGAUUUACCGAGAAUGUAAAAUAAUUACAUUGGAAAUCUACAACUUUGCGCUACUAAGGAUCGGUUAAAGAGUUCGAUAAAUCACGGAGAUAGGAAUCUAAAAAUCUAAAGAUGCAGAUGUUCCGAGAUCGGCGAGAUAUGUGGGGUCCAAGAAUCCAAGAAUGUGAUCCUGUAAUCUCAGACUCUAGGAAGAAUCUAAAAACCGUCAAAUAUUUAAGGAUCGAAGGAAGGAAAGAAUUUCUCUCUAUCAAAUCUAUCUAUUCGAACAUUUUCAACGAUAUCGGUAUAAGAUACGAUUUAUAUAUUUAUAUAUUUGCUCCGAAAUUUUUAAAAUGUUUACUGCUGAACUUUUUUUAUCGACCAAAGCUGAUUGCUCGCUGUGAACUCGGUAGAGUCUAUCUUUUGCAACAAUCUGUACUGUACACGCGUACCGACGUCACAUCUUAUACUCUAUAGUUUGUAUCUAUAGCAGUUGCCGAGGAUUCUCGAUUAUAAUAUUAGUAUAAAAUAAAUAAGCUUGCGUGUACCGGUGUGCAUAUGUUUCGUGUGCUUGUAUGUACGUAUGCGACUCGAGAGAGAAAGAGAGAGAGAAAGAGAGGAAGAGAAAGGAAGAGCGAUGGCUCUCGCGUGUGUAUUUAUCUCAAGAACGGUUCGCAAUCGGCGUGUAAUACGAGAGAGAAAAUAUUUCCUGAUCCUAACGAAGAGAAAAACGGCGAUAAGCGAAGCUUUGCGCGAAUUUCACAAGUCUUACGAGAUCAGAUGCGAACAAGGGGAACUCGCGUAUUUCGAUGGAGAUACACCCUGUAUCGCGUCAACAUGCUUUCAGUGUAAAUUCUUUCAUAAGCUAGAUUUCGAUACUCCUGAUAAGAAGCGCACAAUUGAAAGAAACGAAUAGUUGCGCUGCGAUUUCUGCGCAUUUCCAUCUCCGAGAAUUAUACAACACAAAAUUGUAAUUACGAAGCAAAAGCUCUCGUUAAAGUACAAAUCUCCAGGGACACCGAACUGUUAUUUUAUCGCUCUUUAAAGGCUAAUAACUUUUUUUGUAUUAUUUAUGCCUCACAGGAGCUUUGAGCAAUCGGGAGGAUUUAAUAAACUCCUAUAUAUUUAAAUUUUAUAAAUUCUAAUUGUCUGAUCUAAUUCUUCCGUCUGAACUUUCGUCGAUUUAAAUUUUGUUUCGUAAAUCGCGAUCUCGUGUAAUAAAUGCAAUAAAAAUAAUUCUUAAGUCGGCAUUACGUCGAUAUACAAUUUACAAGAGCUUUAUAUCGCAGCGUGCAGAAUCGUAAUUAGCGCGCGAUAUCGCGAAGCUUGUUAAACGAUAUCGUAAGAGUUGUUUAACGAAUUUUCUAUUUGAUAUUGCACAGGAUAAUACCAUGUGUCGUGCGAGCGCUCUUAUGCAGAUAUCGCCGUCAAUUAUAAAACGAGAGCUCGACGAAAUGCCGGAAGAAAAGAAUACGAACGGUCGAUAGGCUCGAUGAACGUAGUUUAAGUACACGUGUUACCAUUAUUUACUUGUCAUAUCGAUCCGCGCAUAUCACGUGUGUAACAAUAAAUGAAGCGAGAAAAAGAAAAAGGAAGAAGCAUAGACUGCCGUUGGACUAAGCGUCACAAAUUCACAUAAUAUUGUACACACUUUCAUACGAUUUUUAACAUCCGCGAGAAUAUUACUGAUCGAUUUUACAAAUCGCGCGUCGUUCGAAAAAAGUCGAACGAGUAGUGCUCGUCCACACAUAUUCGACCGUCCAUCGCCAGCAGGACGGGUCGACACAUUGCCAACGGUUUUUUCAAACGAUAUCGUCCAAGUGCUUGAACGCUUAUCCGCGAAUUUCCACUUUUCCGGUUCUCCUUAUUCGAUCUCAAUCAAUCCGGUUCUCCAAACAUUAUUUACCUGAAUAUUAUUUCUCGGCGACUAUAUCUCGAAAUCUUCUGGCAUUAUUUUUACUAUUUUAAUCGUGACUUCGCCAUUGUGACUAUCAAAAUCGAUUCUAACAUCUCGUUAAAAAGAAAUAAAAUUGAAGUAUUUGUCAAAUGGCAAAAGAAUAUUUCUAUGUAUACAAAAAUUAAUAGAUGAACAUUUAUCUUGCAAUGAGAAUCUUUAUUGCUCAGUAAAUUUAUAAUUCCGCAAAAUUAAUAAAAGCUCGAUUAAAAUACGAUAAUACAAUCUAGCUAUAAAAUUUUUUCUAAAAUUAAAAAUGACUUCCCGAUGAAUAAAACGUAAUUGUCGUUUAAGACUUAUAUGAUGAAGGUUAGACUUUAAUAUACACUCUGAGCGAUGCAGAAGUGUCGCUUGACAAGAAUUUAGUUGCGUUUGAAUUAUAUCUGCUUUAUCGUGCAAAAUUGAGCAAAGGACUGUAUAAAACAUUUUGCAAUAAAAUAUUCAGGAGAGCAUAUGGGAUAAUCUCAGGUUUUAUCGCUCGGUAAAAAUUCCGCAAAUAUAUUUUAUCGUGAAGCACAUGUGAAAUAUGGAAAUUCGCAUAAGCGCGACAGUGCGUACGUUACCUUUUUGCGACGAAGCGACAGGUAAGCCGUUCGAGAAUCGCACGAUCGCGAUCGAAGCGCGUCUCUGCAGAUGGACUCGAUAGCGAUAGCAAACUAUUGUAUACCGAUUAGAAAUAGCGCGAAACAGACGCGUUCUUUCGAUUGAUCGUGCGAUUGAUCGGCUGAACACAAUGACCAUGAGCGAACAACGGGGAACUUCGAGCCGCUUGAUAUAAAAUAAUUCAGCGCUUAAAAAGCCGAAAGAGAGGAACACUAAUUAUAUCUCCGUAAAUAUCCUAUAAUAUAUUCAAAACAAAAAAAAAAAGAUAACCAAAGCAUUGUAACCUUCUAGAGGCAAAGAAGAAAUAGCGAAGUACCUAAUCUUGUAUAUGAUUUAGUUCGACCACUGAUUUGUCCGUGUGUGUUCGUUACUGAAAUAUAUGUUUCUUUAGUAAAAAAAUUUUGGAAAAUUUA